GUCAAAGGUUACGGCGCAUCCCGGAGCUUUUCUCGAAAUACUCAUGCGCGAUAUGAACCCCAUUUAACCGUCUUGAUAUCGCCCGUAUUACAUGAAGCUGCUUGCACUCGCGGAGGCGUCCCUCUACCUGAUACACAACCUUCGCAACCCUUUCGUAUACUACGCCAAUCAUCAGCGGGAGAGCACAAGAGCGCGGGGGGAAUGAGAACGAAAGGAGAAAAAAGAGGGAAGAUUCACGCGCGAUAUGUGACAUCCGACUACUCUUACCUUGAGAGGCCUUGUGAUUGUGACAGUCUCGAUGGUCGUCGCCUGAGGCAUCUUUAUUUCCUCCUCGUAUUUUCUCUGACUAGGCGGAACGUAUAUCGGGCCUGAUAUUUCGAAAGAAGGACAAAUUAGAAGAAAUUAUGACGCGUACAAAAGCAGAAUGAAAAUAUAUUCCGAAACAUUCACCGCAUGCAAAAGUUGGAGGAGGGAAGAAGAAAAAAAGCAUCUGUCGCUGAUUCUCUUUAGCGAAUACUUGACGAAAUUGUAAAGAAAAAACAGGCCCAACGGUUGUUUCUUUCUUCAAAUUUUAGUACUGUAUGGAACACGCACUUUCGCUCUCCAUCGCAGACACGUUCGUUCUUUUCGGAGCGGUAUGGCCGUUGCAAAAACUGCGUUACAAACUAACAUUAUCGUCGAUCACGCUGGUUUAAUCCCGACGGAGCACUCUCGGUGACGAACCAGCGGUAGCUAUACCGUCGAUUACUCAAAUGUAUGAAUAAACUUUUCCUUAUUCAUAUAUCUGAGCUGUCUGUCCGCUUAGCGAAUCUUAAUGUGUUUACUACACGAGAACGCGCGAUGCUGCUCGUUGCAGUCUUACGAGGUUUACGAGAACGAUGGUUCUCUUCUACUAGGCUUUACUACAGCCUGCGGUACAGCCACCGCCACUUGGGACUUGGGACACGGUCGUCUACGUACGACCCUGCGAGCCUGCUGCAACUCGCAUUUCGCUUUUCGCUCGGCAUUAUACCGGGUUUCUUCGAGCCAGAGUCGAGGCACUUUCGAGUGGAGUAGCAUCGACGAAACAUAUCCGCUGCGAGGAUACAAUGGGAUCAUCGAUUUGUUACGGCAAAAAAAUCGAAGAGUCGAGGCGCUCGAAAACACAUACAAGCAUCACGCGUUCUUGUUACAACGCACGCCUGCGCCUUUUUAAAUUCCACCGUCAACCUGUUGAACGCACGGCUAAAAUAAUAACUAUACCGUAAUAGAGGAAACUACACGUUUUGGGUAUGAAUCCACAAUCAAGAAGCAGAAAUUUCCUAAGAAUACAGCCCAUUCAUGUUCAAUUGAUUCCUCAUGAAAGAAGCAUAUUAUUAUGCAUAUUAAGCAACGAUCAAAAUUUUUAUAUGGAUCACAAAUAGAAACGGAGACUGCUCGUUGCUAGUUCACAUUUUUUCUUUCGAUCAGGAUCAAUGAAUUUCCGGAAGAAUCCUGCGUAACAAAAUCAUCACACUCCGAAUGUGAAAAAUUGAGUUCAUCCAACACGCUGGUCCUGGUUUCUCCACUCCAUGGAAAUUUCCUGCAGUUAGGAAAAUCGCUUUAAUGGUGCGUGUGGAUGGGAUUUGAGUAAAUUCAUUGCUGCAAUAUCGUUUUUGUAAUCAGAUGGAGCGAAAACGGGAAAAUGAGGCGUUUAUUCCGUAGAAUCAAACAGCAGAUGUACAGCAGAUGUUGGAGAGUAAGAAGUUUUUUCUUGUUUUUCAUGAAAUAAAAUUUCGUUUUGAGAAA